AAUCAAAUCAUGACCAUCAAACCCAUCACUCAAUCAGAAAACAUUAUUUCUCUCUUUCUUCUCUUUCUCCCCGAAGGCCUUUCUCUCACCUUUUCUUUUUAACUCUCUCUAACGACAUCCAAACCCUACAAACGUGACUUGUAACCUACACCUUUGAACUCCCUUCAACCCCAUGAUCACAACCGUGUAACAAAAUCUCGAUUUGGUUGAGGUUUGACUCACCAACUUGGAAGCUUCGACUCGGUGAGUUCUGGAUCGACAUUUUCAGGUUGAGUCGAGGAGUUUUAAAGGUCGGGGAAGCUUUCUUACAACUCCCCGAGGUCUUUAGUAAAUGUUUGGUGAAGAAACAACCUCGAAAUGCAAGGUUUCGAGAAGUCCUAGGUUUAGCCGUACCUUUCAAUGCUUUUUUUCAGGCCACCUCCGUCCAUUUUUUGGACUUCAAAAAGAUUCCAGCGAGUUCAGAUGGCGGCGACCGGUGAGGACCACCGGAGAAGAUGACGGAAUAUUCUGUCAACUCUAACGGAAUAUUCGAAUGGCGUCAGGUUUAGUAGCUGUGCUUAAGUGUAAACGAGGAUUCUGGAAAAUCUCAGGAGAUGGUUAUUUCUAGUGGCACACAAAAAGAAAAGCUAAAAAACCCAAAGCCACUUUGUGGGACUUUGUUCUGAUGCUUCUUGCACCUUCACUGUAGAACACAACAGGCUCGCCCAUUUGCCCACUUGCCCAGAUAUGUGCCUUUUGGCGCAGCGGCAUGAAGCCACAGAAAAAGAAUUUUAGGUUAUCUUCUCUUUUGGUUAUUAGCUUUUUUAAGUUGCUUUUGUUAGGGUUUUUGUGUAAAUUAGUUAGGUAUUAUGUACGUGACGUUCACCAAAAAUUGUAAGUAAUGAGAACUAAUUAACCAGAUUAGGGUCUUUGAGUCUCGGAAAAAAACAGUGAGUCUACCAAAGCAAUCCAUUAGGGUUUUGAGUAUUGGACCGAAAUGAAU